CUCUAUCCCAGGACCCUGGGACCAUGACCUGAGCUGAAGACAGACACUUAACAAAUGAGCCACCCAGGCGCCCCGAGAGACAGAAUUUUCAUUGCCUCUUUUCAAUAAUAUACUUGAAUGUUUUAACACAUGGAAAAAUGACUUGGUAUAUUUUUGUCCAUGUAAUGAUCAAAGUGAAUAUGACAAUGAAUGCAUUAUUUACUAAAUUAAAAAGUAAUGUGGAUAUUUGGCUUGAUAAUUUAGAACUUCCAAAAUCCUACAUUAGGCUUAUGCUGAAUAAUUUUGCCUUCUUAAGUUUCUUUUCAUGAAACUGAUACCUUUGACUUGUUGUUUAGCUUGGCCAGAUGCUCUUCAUGUGAGUGUGUAUAUCCUGGCUCACACACUGGAAUGAUGAGAUAUGAAUUCAUUUGGAUCACAUUAUAAUUAAUUGCAAGCUUUCUCUACUGUCCUUUUGACUUUUCUAAUUAAAUUUAUUUUACUUUUUACUCUGAUGUGGUUAACCUCAGUUUCUUUGAAUUUAGCUUAUUUAACACACAACUGAGGACAUUAUAAAAUUUAAAAUGGCUUGUUUAGAGAAGUGUUCCCUAGAAAGUUUCUGGAUGAAAAUAUGGUAUGCUCAUACUAGGCCAAAAAGAACAAAGAAAUGUCCUCUGACAUUUGAUACCUGUGGAUAAUUGUCCAGAAUGAGUUUUGUCAUCACAUCCAAAAAAUGUAUUGCAGUAAAGAAUAAAUUCACCCACAAAAAGGGGCUGUAUUAAAGGGAAAUAAACUCAUUUAUGUUUUACAAUCUCUAUUUUGGCAUUUGUUUCCAUAAAUAAUAGUAAACCACCACAUCAGUGGUUUGGAGGAGUCAAAGAUGUGUAAGAUUUCGUUCAUAUUCUAAAAGAACCUUAAUCUAGUAAUGAACUAUGUAUGUAGUUAACUAUAUUGCAAGGGACCAUUAGAGAAAACAAAACCUCUUCCAGCUGGGGUCCCCAGAGAGGGCUGGUAAAGGAAAUGUGGGGUAAAGCAGCAAGGUCCCAUUUACAGGCUCCUAAGAACUGUCCUAAUUUUUAGAUAUUUGAUAGUUUCACUGUCAUAUGGGAUCAUUUAAAGUAUAAGUGCUUUUAUUUUGGCAAUUAUAUAUUGUUAUAAAUAUAUUUUUUUCUAAGAAAUUUUAUGGGAAGUAUUUAACUGCCUCUGGAUAUUAUUUAUUAUUCUCUUUGUAUUUUUAACACUACAUUAUUCACUUCUAUGAACCUUGGACAGCAAAGCACAAUUGCUUAAUAUGGGAAAUAAGUAAUAACAUAUUGAGCCAUACAAAUAGAUUCCAUAAAACUUUCUCUCCAAAGAUUUGAUUUACUUAAAUACCAGGAUACAAAAUGUCAAAUGUUUGAGCUCAUUGAUAAAAGCAGAAAAUAUUGAUGUUGCAUGUUCUCUUUACAAAGCACUGAUCUUACUGCUUUUUAGAAUCGUGGUAGCUGUUUGUUUUCUUAUCCCAAUUUGAAUGUCCAAAACAAAACCCAGACCUAGUUGACACUUAAACAAUAGAAUGUUACAUUAGUUUGUGAUCCAAAGUGAAAUGUGCACAGGCAGCCUGGCUGGCCCCAGUUUCACAGUUGACUGCCGACUUCACUUCAGAUUACGUAAACAUGUAUUGCAAAACAGCACUGACGGGAACCUCCUAACCUAAACAGCCUUCUCUGAAAUGUAACUUGUCUUUUUAUAUAAAAGGAGAAAUUAAAUCAAAAUUAUUUUGAAGAAAAACAACUCCAGGAUUUUGUUCAAUUGAAUUUUACCAGGAAAUGCUAUUCCCUAGUAGCACUGACCUUGGGGCAGAGAGAAGCUGAAGUCACGUAUUUUGCAGGGUCAGACUUCUCUAGUGACUUCACGUGUUGUCACAUCAAGUCAAUCAAGUGACUGGAGCAUCUGUCACCUUAGGCCACAAGGAGCCCUCCUGGAGAAAGGUAUGUGCUGGGUUAUGUUCACCAAGAUCUAAAAUGAUCACCCCUUUUGGACAAUAAACUGUUGUGAUCUCUCCCUGCAAGAACCUUACAAAAUGAAGGUGGCAAUUCAGGAUGUCUAGAAAAAAUCAUGGAAAAGAAGUUUUGCAGAAAUGAAUCUACAUUCAACCCAUGAAGUUAAAGAGCAACCUACAAACAACCUUUGGGACAGCAGCCUUGCCCACAAGUGAGAGAUGAAGACUAUUGGUUGCCCAUGGAAAAAGAAGAUGUGGCUCUUUGAGGGAAGAAGACCCUUCCUCUUUCCUUCAGUGGCUGAGACCAUUGAGCUGAAGUCGACUUCUCUGCAGUCUUAAGUUAUUCCAGACGGUGGAUUGAUUUUCUCGCCUUACCUUCCUCAGAUGUGGAGGUCUGGCAGCGGCCGUGGCUGGCACGGUGCACAUGACAACCAAAGUCUGCUGCAGAAGUUUUCUUGGCAUAUUAAAAUUUGCCCACAAGAGAGUUUACCAGAAAAGGAAUCCUCAAGGUAAAGAGCUGGUGUCUACAUCUUUGCCUCAGAUGGUCAGAUUUCUGGGAAAAUCUCAGCUGGGAGCUCUUCUGAGAAGUAAGCUGACAUCACAGGGUUGAAGGACUUACCACCUCAAAACUCCGAUGCUCUAGAAAUUUGCCAAAGCCACUAUUUGUUUAAAAUUGACUCUAAACAAUGAAACUUGGGAACACUGAAAAAUUUUUAAAAAAUAA